GUAAUAACAUGGCUAUAUAUAUAUAUAGGGAGUACCAGGUAAUAACAUGGCUAUAUGCAGGGAGUACCAGGUAAUAACAUGGCUAUAUAUAUAGGGAGUACCAGGUAAUAACAUGGCUAUAUACAGGGAGUACCAGGUAAUAACAUGGCUAUAUGCAGGGAGUACCAGGUAAUAACAUGGCUAUAUGCAGGGAGUACCAGGUAAUAACAUGGCUAUAUAUACACUGCUCAAAAAAAUAAAGGGAACACUUAAACAACACAUCCUAGAUCUGAAUGAAAGAAAAAAAUCUUAUUAAAUACUUUUUUCUUUACAUAGUUGAAUGUGCUGACAACAAAAUCAC
rnacentral:lncRNA from 1 species